GUCCCUUGCAGUGACAGCCAGAAGUCUCGGAGAGACUCGCCACCUGCCGAGUUUUACUGAGUUCCUGAGGCGUCUCUAGGUGUCAUUCCGAUCCCACGGAUGUUCCGCCUCAUUUCUCUACGUAGUCUCCGUUCUCUUUUUUCCACUGGAUCGAGCAUGUUUGACUUUCCGUGGUAACAACAGGAUGAUAAACUGCGCCAGAUGAAUGGACGUAUUCGUUGUAAGGCGCACUGGAAUAAUAGUGAACUGAGAGAGGACCAGUGUAGCUGCUCGGUUGUUUUUGCCUGGAGUUCAUCUGUUCUUUAUCGUCUCUGGAAUUGUUGGACUCAUUGCUAGGAACGGUUAACGCUGUUUUUUCCACAGACCGUUAUCACCCUGCUAUGUGUCUGGUGUGGAAAAUAUCAAGUAGUAGGUGUAAAGCGGGAUACAACCGAAAAGAACACGACAUGUGUUACUGAUUCCUAGGUUACUAUAUUAACCUGUGCGUGAUGUGCGUGGAAUGAAAACAGAGGAUGGAUAUCAUUUGGGAACUACUGACCAUUCUUCAAGCCAGUUUUAUUGUGUGCAUAUCAGCACAGCCAAAUCUGCCAAAAAUUCAUGAAGGAUGGUGGGCGUACAAGGAGGUGGUGCAGGGUAGCUUUGUUCCAGUGCCGUCAUUCUGGGGUUUGGUGAACUCAGCCUGGAACCUGUGCUCUGUGGGAAAGAGGCAGUCACCGGUUAACAUUGAGACGAGCCACAUGAUAUUUGACCCCUUCCUCACACCUAUAAAGUUAAACACAGGUGGACGCAAGAAUAAAGGACACUGUUUCCACCUGGGACUAACCUCUCACGACCACCUCAUCACAUCAUCUGCUUGUAUCCAAGCUACAGUGGGAGGGACAAUGUAUAACACAGGCCGCCAUGUCUCUUUGCGACUGGACAAAGAGCAUCUGGUUAACAUCUCUGGAGGCCCUAUGACAUACAGCCAUCGUCUAGAGGAGAUCCGGCUACACUUCGGCAGCGAGGACGGUCAGGGGUCCGAACACCUGUUGAAUGGACAGGCUUUCUCUGGAGAGGUUCAACUGAUCCACUACAAUCAUGAGCUGUACACAAAUUACACAGAAGCUGUAAAAAGCCCCAAUGGACUAGUCAUAGUGUCCAUAUUCAUGAAGAUUGCAGAAACAUCAAACUCAUUUCUGAAUCGGAUGCUGAACAGGGAUACCAUCACAAGAAUAACAUAUAAGAAUGACGCAUAUCUACUGACUGGCCUGAACAUAGAGGAGGUUUACCCUGAGACCAGUAGUUUUAUUACAUAUGAUGGCUCCAUGACAAUCCCUCCAUGCUUUGAGACAGCCACAUGGAUCCUGAUGAACAAGCCAGUGUACCUCACACGCAUGCAGGUAUUAUCAGCUUCAUUGCUGCCAAGUCAUCUUGGGUGAAGUGGGGAAUCUGCUGAUGAGAGAACGUGUGUUUUAUGGAUCAUUAGUUCAAACAAGCAGCAGUCAAAUUAACAUCAGAAGACCAAGGACAACCCAGGAAAAACAGCCGGGACAGAACGGUGAAAUGAGCACCUAUUAAGUAAUAUCGGCUGGUUGUAUAUCCUCACAGAGACUCCAUGAGGGGACAACGGUCUUGUUUUGCCAGCCACUAAAAGAAGAUGAAGAAAAGAAAAGGGUUUUGGCCCAAUCAAUCUGUGGCUUUAUAACAACUGUUUGCUUUGAUUCAAAAUAAAAAGUUGCUGAACGACUUAGAAACUAUGUCUUUAUUCAAACACGCUUAUAUGUAUAUUUUAUAACCUUUUGUUAAAAAUAUAAAGCGAUGUCUGAGCGUCUUUGAUCUGGCGAUAUUUUCGAUAAGUUUAAGAAAUCUACUUCCGGUAGUGCAAAUCUACUUCCAGGUCAGCACAGAAACUACAACAUGGAAGUGUGGAAGCCGUUCAUAGAAUUUUAUUUUGAGCUGAGUCUCAAAUACAGAGACAUUAAAUCACUGCUUGGAAGUAAACACAAUUUUUACCUGAGCGAGAGGCACCUUAAAAGAAAACUUAACAAAAUGGGCUAUUCUGGGCUUAAAACCUACUCCGACGCUUGGUUGAUUUUGUUAGCAACAAACUGCAGUACUCUGGGCAACUUCACAGGUACCAUUGGAUGUACACUAAAUGCCGAAAACACGGAAUGCGUGUGAGAAAGGAAGAUGUGCGCAUGGUUUUGAAGGAGGUAAUCUUGGAACUGAGAAUGGAUACGUCAGAGGUUUUCAGCAUUUCCUUCGUCCUGCUCACCCAGAUGAUACCCUUGAGAGUUACCUGGAGGGAGCCAGCACUGCCAAUCAUCCAUCCAUCCAUCCAUUUUCUUAACCGCUUACUCCCUAGUGCGGGGUCACGGGGGUGCUGGAGCCUAUCCCAGCUGGCUACGGGCGAGAGGCAGGGUACACCCUGGACAGGUCGCCAGUCCAUCGCAGGGCAACACAUAGACAGACAACCAUUCACUCACACACUCACACCUACGGGCAAUGGAGAGAAGCCAAUCAACCUAAUGCACGUCUUUGGACUGUGGGAGGAAGCCGGAGGACCCGGAGAGAACCCACGCAAACACGGGGAGAACGUGCAAACUCCACACAGAAAGGCACCAGGUCCGCCUCCGGGAAUCGAACCCAGAACCUUCUUGCUGUGAGGCGACAGUGCUACCCACCGCACCACCGUGCCGCCCACUGCCAAUCAAAGAAUUAAAUAUUGGUGGGGCUUUCUUUAUAGCCAGUGCGUACAAUUCUUCUGGACAAAAGUCUCAUUCAGUUCUGUUGCACGGGACUUAUCCAGGUGAGUUAAUGUAUUCGCAUGUUUUCAUGUUUUUUGUUUUAUGUGCAUAUUUGUGAGAGAGGAGGAGUAGGAACUGAAAAAAGCAACAGAGAGGAAUGGAGGGGGAGAGGCCGAUGAGACGAGGGGGUAGAGCAAAGAGAGGAAUACAUUUACAUAAAUAUUGUGUGUAAAUAAAAUAAUCUAGUGCUGUGGUCAGAUUUAUAUGUAUGUUUGGGAUCAUAAAUUGUCUGCAUAAAUCUAUUUGUCGUUUUUAACAGGAUGAGCUAGAAGACACCGUACAGGUCUGGAACGCACAAACCAUCAGGCCCCAGCGGUCGACCCAAUGUGAUAUAUACUUGUGAUAUACUUUGCCUGAACUCUACAGGACAAGAGACUACCUUUCUUUGGUUGAAGAUGAACAUGUUCAACGAUGCAAAAAUGAAUGUGUCUUUUGACUGGCCAUACCAUGCAAUUCAGAUGUAUAUGAACUAUGCAAUAUUUUCAUAGCAGAGUUCCAUCUGACUCUACCAACAAAUCCAUAUCAAGCUGUGUAGAAGUAUUAAGGAUUAAGGAGUAUUCCAGUAUAUCCCAGAGGGAUCAGUGUGUUGAUUUGCUAAAUUGGGUGAGCUGUUAGUGCCACAAGUAUAUCUCUAACUGACAACUUCUGUUUUAUUCUCAAUGUGAAUAAACACAAGGGCUUUGCUGUAAAAAUUAUAGCUAUUUUACGCUUUAUGUAAAUUCCUCUCUACAGGUUGUAUUAACUUCAUUCCUCACUUUUGUAAAGACUGUUUUUUUCGAAAAUAAAUGAAUCCAAUUAGAUUCCAAUAUUUAAUAUUAAUAAUAAUAAUAAUAAAAGUGAAAAGUAUGGCAAUUUAACAGAAAAAAAGGUGGGCUUCUCACCCUAGGAUUCUGCAUCAAAUGUUUCAAAAAAAGACAUAAGAACCAAGAAUGGGCCGGUUAUUAUUGGGCUUGAUCAACAUUGAUUUCUACUUCAAAGGAUGUCCACUUCCCACCACAGAUCUGAGGUGACCCAGGACAGCCUCUCCAGUGUCUUCAUCAUAUGGGAUAUGACAGCCACUGGUCUGAAGCUGCUGAGGUAUUGGGUGUGGGGUGUCUUAGGCACUGGAACCACGCAGGAGGUCUUCCAGAGCCAGAGAUCUUGAGGCUCAGGUUGAUGACAUGCUCCAUAACUCCACACAGUUCAUCUGCACAGGACUUUAGGAGUCUGGAGCUGGUGCCAUCUCGUCUGGCUGCUCUCCUGUCCACAGACAGGUAGUGUCGCAGUAUCAGGGUGGUGUGAAGAGAGGGGUGUUUGCAGGGCUGAUUGUGCAGGGCUUUGUGUAGAGGUGUGAAGGGCUGUGGGGGGUAGUCCAGUCUUCUGAGGCGCUGGUGGUGUGGGGGUUGAGCCAGGUGCCAGUUUGGAAGCAGCUGCUUGCUUGGUCGAACUGAUUGAAGUGUAGGUACAGGCCGUUAACCUAGCUCAGGUCCCCCUUUGCAUGUGAGUGUGGUGCUUUGAAGCCAGAGAUUUUCAGGCUCCUCCACACCUCACUGACGUUCUUCUGCAGCUGCUUCUCCAUCUUCCUCCUGUAUCUGGCCUUCCCCUCACAGAUUUUCCUCCUCAGCUCUUCCUUGUUCCCUAAUCUAAACCGUCUCUUCUUCUCCUUUAGCAGAGCUUGGAUAUCAGAGGUGACCCACGAAUUGUUGUUUGCAAAAUACCGUGUCACCCUGAAGGAAAAAUGUAAACUUAUUGUGUCAGCACAAUGAUGCAUACAUUUUGUUUGCUAAUCUACAGCAAUACAACACAAUCGAUGUUGACACUUUAAUUGAUUACAGUCUUCCCACUUCAUAGUGUAAGUGUCUGAGCAGUCAGUCAAUACAGGUUCAUUGACAAAUAUUUGUAUUUUUGUGUAAACAAAAAUAUUAUAGUUACUUUCCUGAGUGCAGAUGAUAAAACACCUGUUUGUUGGCUAGUCAGGAAGGACAUCCUCAUGACGCUGGACUAUAAAUGUAACACCCAGUUAGCAAUUAUAUUAUUAAUCCACCUCUAAUGACUUGGUAUAAACAUUGCUUAACUUCUGUGAAGCAGACACCCUACUAGUUUUCUCUCUCGUUUUACUUUUGUCAACUUCUUGGCACCAGAACAGACGUCAACUAGUAAGCCAGUUGAGAAACAGUUAUGCUUAAGUUAGCUUACUUUCCACAGGUACAAAAAGUAACCUUCACCCCUAAUGUUAGCUGUGUGUGUGUCUAAACAUGAGUAUGCAGACACAUGUUGUAGCUCCCUCCAAGUUAUUCAACGACACAAGGUGUCACAAGGCAUAAUGCAUAAACAGUUGCACCACUAUAGAUAAACAUGAACCAAUAUUUUACUUGGUGUUUCAGUAAGUUUGCUUCAUCUAAGGCAAAAUGUUGAGCCAGGUGAAAGCAUUAUUUAAAAAAAAAAAAUGAAAUAAUCAAAGAUAACACCCAAAGAUUUUCUAACAGGGGGCGGCACGGUGGUGCGGUGGGUAGCACUGUCGCCUCACAGCAAGAAGGUUCUGGGUUCGAUUGCCGGAGGCGGACCUCGUGCCUUUCUGUGUGGAGUUUGCACGUUUUCCCCGUGUUUGCGUGGGUUCUCUCCGGGUUCUCCGGCUUCCUCCCACAGUCCAAAGACGUGCAUUAGGUUGAUUGGCCUCUCUCCAUUGCCCGUAGGUGUGAGUGUGUGAGUGAAUGGUUGUCUGUCUAUGUGUUGCCCUGCGAUGGACUGGCGACCCGUCCAGGGUGUACCCUGCCUCUCGCCCGUAGCCAGCUGGGAUAGGCUCCAGCACCCCCGUGACCCCGCACUGGGGAGUAAGCGGUUAAGAAAAUGGAUGGAUGGA